rnacentral:rRNA from 1 species
CCUACGGGGGGCAGCAGUGGGGAAUAUUGGACAAUGGGGGGAACCCUGAUCCAGCCAUGCCGCGUGUGUGAAGAAGGCCCUCGGGUUGUAAAGCACUUUCAGUGAGGAAGAACGCCUGGUGGUUAAUACCCAUCAGGAAAGACAUCACUCACAGAAGAAGCACCGGCUAACUCCGUGCCAGCAGCCGCGGUAAUACGGAGGGUGCGAGCGUUAAUCGGAAUUACUGGGCGUAAAGCGCGCGUAGGUGGCUUGAUAAGCCGGUUGUGAAAGCCCCGGGCUCAACCUGGGAACGGCAUCCGGAACUGUCAAGCUAGAGUGCAGGAGAGGAAGGUAGAAUUCCCGGUGUAGCGGUGAAAUGCGUAGAGGUCGGGAGGAAUACCAGUGGCGAAGGCGGCCUUCUGGACUGACACUGACACUGAGGUGCGAAAGCGUGGGUAGCAAACAGGAUUAGAUACCCGUGUAGUC